UUGCUCAGUAACACGUGGACAACCUGCCCUGAGGACUGGAAUAAUCCCGGGAAACUGGGGGUAAUUCCAGAUAUGUCAGAACUCCUGGAAUGGGUUCUGGCAGAAAGGCUCCGGCGCCUCAGGAUGGGUCUGCGGCCUAUCAGGGUAGUAGUGGGUGUAACGUACCUACUAGCCUACGACGGGUACGGGUUGUGAGAGCAAGAGCCCGGAAAUGGAUUCUGAGACAUGAAUCCAGGCCCUACGGGGUGCAGCAGGCGCGAAAACUUUACAAUGCGGGCAACCGCGAUAAGGGGACCUCGAGUGCUGGGUUACAAACCUGGCUGUUGGGCUGCCUAAAAAGCAGUCUAUAGCAAGGGCCGGGCAAGACCGGUGCCAGCCGCCGCGGUAACACCGGCGGCUCGAGUGGUAACCGCUGUUAUUGGGUCUAAAGGGUCUGUAGCCUGCCGGCUAAGUCUCUUGGGAAAUCUGGCAUCUCAAGUGUCAGGCUGCCAGGGGAUACUGGUCAGCUUGGGACCGGGAGAGGUGAGAGGUACCUCGGGGGUAGGGGUGAAAUCUUGUAAUCCUUGAGGGACCACCAGUGGCGAAGGCGUCUCACCAGAACGGAUCCGACGGCAAGGGACGAAAGCUAGGGGCACGAACCGGAUUAGAUACCCGGGUAGUCCUAGCCGUAAACGAUACUCGCUAGGUGUCGGCCACGGUGCGACCGUGGUCGGUGCCGUAGGGAAGCCGUGAAGCGAGCCACCUGGGAAGUACGGCCGCAAGGCUGAAACUUAAAGGAAUUGGCGGGGGA
rnacentral:rRNA from 1 species